ACAUCAAUCACAUCCAGUGCAAGGAGCGCAUACAGUCUUCAGUCUAUCAGCUGGAGAGUGUAUGCUCUCGCCUCGGGUAUGCGCUUAUUUGCUGUUUUAUCCAGUAAAACAAAAGAAAAAUCUGAUGCCGUUUUGACUGAAGAAGCUUUGGAGACUGCUACUACCGGAGCUGUCCUUUAUUUCCUACUCGAACAAAGCCUGAAGUUGGGACUUGAGGAGUUUUCAGCACCACUUUUCCGUGGACAGCGCUCGCAAUGAGUCCGGGAGAUCGACGCAGUCUCAUAACGCGUUUGGAUUUCCGCUUAAUAUUAUUUAGCAACAGUGUUUUCUCACUGAAAACACAACCGUAGUUGUUCGGGAAAUCUUGUUUUCUCUUAUACCAACAUUAAAAAAACGAGUUGUUCCUUGGAUACGGGUCCUUCCACGUACAUUUGUAUUGAGCAUGAAAGCUGGGAAUUUGCUCUGAAGCCUGUGGACCUGAGACAGCCCGGGGGCUCUGACAUACACCAAAUCCCUGCCCAGGGGAAUGGGGGAGAUUAAAAACUUCUGAUUGAGGUGGAGAGGAAAGAGACACAAAGACAGGGAGGGAGAGACAGAGGAGGAAGAAAGCUUAUCGUUCACCUUUGUUCUUCCUAAUGCCCCAAGUGAAGGAACUCCAAAGAAUAACAGGGAACACAAAAACAGCUGCCCACAACAGUGGUCAGAGGAUGGAGUGAGUAAAAGAAAAGAUAGAAACAGGACUACAUUCUGAGAAAGAGUAAGGCUUAUAUUCUACUCUAAUUGAAUGCCUGUGAAAGCAGAUAGACACGAGAGAAAUGCCUUUUUGUGAAACCUGUUUCAAGAGGCAUUGCAGUUAAACCUCUGGCCAUCAUAAAAUAAUACCUGGCUAUUGAUUUUUCCUGACUGCUGGUGUGGAUGUGUGCUCGGACAGUGAUCAUGUUUUAUCCUCCAACGUCUAAACCUAAUCGGAAUGGCUGUCAGAGAAACAUCCACAUUCUGCUGCUGCUACUGCUUCUUCUGUACAGCUUCCUCAAUGUCUCUCAGGCUGCAAAACCCAAGGGGCCAGGACAAACGCACUUGAACUCCAUCCGCAUUGAUGGAGAUAUCUCCUUAGGUGGGCUAUUCCCGGUGCAUGCCAGGGGCCACGAUGGCAAACCCUGUGGGGAGCUUAAGAAGGAGAAGGGCAUUCACCGACUUGAAGCCAUGCUCUUUGCCCUUGACCGUAUAAAUAAUGAUAAUAACCUCCUGCCAAACAUCACACUGGGAGCAAGAAUCCUGGACACCUGUUCUAGAGAUACUCAUGCCUUGGAGCAGUCACUCACUUUCGUCCAGGCUCUGAUUGAGAAAGAUGGGACAGAUGUCAAAUGUCUUGGAGGGGGGGCGCCAAUUAUCACCAAACCUGAGAGGGUAGUGGGUGUCAUUGGAGCCUCAUCAAGCUCUGUUUCCAUCAUGGUGGCCAAUAUACUGCGCCUGUUUAAGAUACCACAGGUGAGCUAUGCCUCUACAGCUCCGGAGCUGAGUGACAACACCCGCUACGACUUCUUUUCCCGUGUGGUGCCUCCAGACACAUAUCAGGCCCAGGCCAUGGUGGACAUCGUUAAGUCCAUGCGCUGGAACUAUGUCUCUACUGUGGCCUCAGAGGGAAACUACGGAGAGAGCGGCGUUGAUGCUUUCAUUCAGAAGUCUCGGGAGGAUGGUGGUGUGUGCAUCUCACAGUCUGUUAAGAUUCCCCGGGAACCUAAACAGGGAGAGUUUGACAUGAUCAUCCAAAGACUUGGGGAAAAUCCAAAUGCAAGGGUUGUCAUACUCUUUGCCAACGAAGACGAUAUCAGGCGGCUUCUCCAUGCAGCAAAAAAGGCCAACCAGACAGGUCAUUUUAUCUGGGUGGGUUCAGACAGCUGGGGCUCAAAGAUCUCUCCGGUUGUGCACCAGGAGGAGAUGGCAGAGGGAGCCGUCACCAUCUUACCGAAGCGACAGUCCAUCAAAGGGUUUGAUAGGUACUUCAUCAGCCGAACACUGGAAAACAACAGAAGGAAUAUCUGGUUUGCUGAGUUCUGGGAGAACAACUUCAACUGCAAACUCAGCCGUCAUGCAGUGAAAAAAGGGUCUGGGCUCAAAAAGUGCACAAAUCAGGAGCGAAUAGGAAAGGACUCGCAUUACGAGCAAGAAGGAAAGGUGCAGUUUGUUAUUGAUGCGGUGUAUUCAAUGGCUCAUGCUUUACACAACAUGCACAAAGAACUCUGCCCUGGGAAGGUGGGUCUCUGCGCUAAAAUGGAUCCCAUCAACGGAACCCACCUGCUCAAGCAUAUUCGCCGAUUGAAGUUCUCAGGUAUAGCUGGAAACCCAGUGCUCUUCAAUGAAAAUGGAGAUGCCCCAGGGCGCUAUGAGAUCUACCAAUACCAGAUUAGAAACCGAACAGCUGAAUAUAAAGUCAUUGGUAACUGGACAGAUCAGCUGCACCUGAAUGUGGGUUCGAUGCAGUGGCCGGGUGGAGUCCGUCAGAUCCCGUCCUCAAUUUGCAGUCAACCCUGUCAACCAGGCGAGCGCAAGAAGAUUGUGAAGGGCAUUCCUUGCUGUUGGCAUUGUGAGCGCUGUGAUGGUUAUCAAUAUCAGGCAGACACAUACACCUGUAAAAUGUGUCGCUUUGAUUUGCGUCCCAACGAGAAUCACACUGGCUGUGUUCCAAUCCCCAUUGUUAAACUGGAAUGGAGUUCCCCCUGGGCUGUCAUCCCUGUGCUCAUUGCUGUCCUUGGCAUCAUGGCCACUUUGUUUGUGGUGGUCACGUUCAUCCGUCACAAUGAUACUCCAAUUGUGAAGGCAUCAGGCAGAGAGCUGAGCUAUGUGCUGCUAACUGGAAUCUUCCUCUGCUAUGCCACAACAUUCCUGAUGAUUUCUACCCCUGAUGUCGGAAUCUGCUCCCUCCGCCGGAUCUUCUUGGGCCUUGGGAUGAGCAUUAGUUAUGCUGCCUUGCUCACCAAAACCAAUCGUAUUUACCGCAUCUUUGAGCAGGGUACUAUGUCUGUUAGUGCACCCAGGUUCAUUUCUCCAGCCUCUCAGCUUAUCAUCACGUUUACACUGGCCUCAGUGCAGCUGCUCGGAGUGUGCAUUUGGUUUGGGAUGGAUCCAUCCAAGGCCAUUAUCGACUAUGAAGACCAGAGGACAUCUAACCCUGUUUUAGCUCGUGGUGUACUCAAGUGUGACAUCUCGGAUCUAUCCCUUAUCUGUUUGCUGGGCUACAGCAUGUUGCUCAUGGUCACCUGUACAGUCUAUGCCAUCAAAACAAGAGGAGUACCUGAGACGUUCAAUGAGGCCAAACCUAUUGGUUUUACGAUGUACACAACCUGUAUUAUUUGGCUUGCAUUCAUCCCAAUCUUCUUUGGCACUUCACAAUCCACAGAAAAGAUGUACAUCCAAACAACCACACUAACCAUUUCUGUGAGCCUGAGUGCUUCUGUGUCCCUCGGGUUGCUCUACAUGCCCAAGGUCUAUGUGAUUCUUUUACACCCAGAGCAGAAUGUGCCAAAGCGCACUCGCAGCCUGAAGGCCGUGGUUACAGCUGCCACCAUGUCCAACAAGUUCAACCCGAAGGCUGGACUCAGACCCAACGGAGAGGCUAAGACUGAACUGUGUGAAAGCCUGGAGACACAAUGAAAAAUAAAAACUUGAUCAGUCUUGCCUCUCUGCAUAGAUCUUUUUACAUUUUCCAGCCCAAACUUGGCCUGAAAAGCCUUUUCCACAAAGCAAACCUACAUCAGUUACAGCAACCAUGCAAUCUAAGGGACAAAGGUUCUUAUCUCAAAUCAAGAUUUCCACCCCGGCGGAGAAAAAAAAUAUACAAGCAGUGGAAUUUCACAGCUGAAAAAAGAAAGUGUCAUUUUGCAGGGGAGAUCACACAAGCAUUGCCCAAAGACAUGACACGCUGAGGAGAAACCACAAAGAGGGGCGGAGAUGGACAAAAGAGACGAAGGGAACGGAUAACUGUACAAUUUUAAGGCUCCAUCUUCUGUCAAUCAACAAAAGGUUACACACAUAAAAAGAAAAAAAAAACAUUUGCACAGCAGAGGCCUA